CACCAUAACAAGUUGAAGCUGCCAGCAUGAUCUUAAUUUGCCUCCUUUGUAAGCGAAAGAUCAUGCUGGCAGUUUCACCUAGUUGUUGA
rnacentral:pre_miRNA from 1 species